rnacentral:rRNA from 1 species
CUACGGGAGGCAGCAGUAGGGAAUCUUCCACAAUGGACGCAAGUCUGAUGGAGCAACGCCGCGUGAGUGAAGAAGGUUUUCGGAUCGUAAAGCUCUGUUGUUGGUGAAGAAAGAUAGUGAGAGUAACUGCUCAUUAUUUGCCGGUAAUCAACCAGAAAGUCACGGCUAACUACGUGCCAGCAGCCGCGGUAAUA